AUUUGAAAAAGGCAAAUCUAUUGAAAAAUAGAGACGCAAAGUCACAGGCCUACGGUGUUUGAACUAUGGUGGCUGGACUGCUGAA
rnacentral:ncRNA from 1 species